rfam:Pantoea gaviniae strain LMG 25382 Contig0363_, whole genome shotgun sequence.
ACUGGCUGGUGGCGCGCUUCUGCUGAAGGGCGACGACGUCACGCAUAACGAUCACAUGCUGAUACCCGAGCCCGCCCAUGACGCGGGCUUUUUUUU